CAGCCGGCUCCCCUCCUGUUCCUUCGUCUCCCCCUCGAGCGCUCCUCCCCCCCUCCCUGUUCUGUUCGUGCGAGGAAGAAAGCAGCGGGACUCCGCAGGACGCGCCGGGCCCCCGCAGGACGCGCCGGCGGCCGCCUCCACCUCCGCUGAUCGCCGCCGGCUCGGCCUACCGCCGCGCCUCCGCCUCCGCCUACCCGAUUAAGAUCCAUCCGCCAUAUGCAUGGACGGCGCCCCGUUCGAUUUCUUGUCUCAAACGGAAUAGUCUGGUGCUGCUGCGGAGGCCAUGGACGGCGAAGGGUGGGGCUUGACGCCGCCUCAUCUCCGGCGUGAUAGUUCCGGCGGCCGCGUUCCGAGGGCCGGGAACGUCGCCGCACCGCGCAUGGACCUGGGGAACCUUGACCUCAACGCCGACUGCGGCGCCGCCUCGUACCCCGACAUGACCAUGUACACGCAUAUCCUUCAACGGGACAGCGGCUCCGGUCAAGGUUUCCCCCCACAGAGGGCAAGAUCAGAUGGCUUGCCGCUGCGAGGUCGUCCACCUCGCAAGGUCUGUCCGUAGCGAGGGCACCAGGUGCUCGCGGCAAGGCCGUCGUGGUGCCGGGGGGAGGUGAUGCUGCUGCCAUGCGAGUUGCUGCACGUCGUGGGGGUUCAAAUGGCGCGAGCAGCAGCAGGCAGCCGCAGGUAGCGCCGAUUCCGGUGGAUGAUGAUGACGGCAUCGAAGAAGACGAAGAUGAAGAUGAGAACACGCUGAACCAGCAUAGGAAGAAGCCAAAAAGCAAGGCUAAUUGGACCGACGAAAAUACGUACAUUUUGUGUGAGUUAGCUUGUGAGGAGAUAGAGGAUGGCAAUUUUACUGCUAAAGUUUGGACCAGUCAGGGUUACAAAAAUAUUAUGGAGAAAUAUUAUCAAAAGACAAAAUUGUGGCAUCUAGGGAGGGAAGUGAAGAACAAAAUCCAGAACCUGAAGGGUGUGUACAAUGAUUGGGUAUGGUUGCAGCAACAAACCGGAUGCGGCCGCGGCGAACAUGGAGAAGUUACGGCAACUACAGCUUGGUGGGAGAGGGAGAUCAAGAGUAGACCAAAUCUCAAGAAAUUUAGAAAGGGUAACCCUGAGUACAUUGGACUGUUGCAUGAGGUAGCUGUGGAUGGUACUUCUGCUUACGUACCUGGGCGACCAGAGAUCCUGAAUUCAGAGUUGUGCAUGAAAGGUUAAGAAAUGCUCAGUGGCAUCCAUGGUUCAAUGACAGCAUUGGGGCAAUAGAUGGGACUCAUGUGCAAGUUGUGGUGCCACCUACCAAGAUUCCGCAGUACUUAAACAGACAUGGCUACUGUAGUCAGAAUGUUAUGGUUGUAUGUGAUUUCAACAUGAGAUUCACUUUCGUUCUUGCCGGGUGGCCUGGAUCGGUUCAUGAUAUGAGGCCCUUCAAGGAUGCCCUUAGCCGGUUUAGUCACAAGUUUCCUCAUCCACCUCCAGAAAUUUUUUAUCUUGUUGACUCGGGCUACCCCAACAAGGCGGAUUAUCUUGCACCAUAUAGGGGGCAGAAGUACCAUUUCCAAGAGUUCCAUCAAGGCACCAUGCCGAGAGCUGUGUAGGUUUUGCACAACCUUUGCGGCAACAGCGGCCAUGCGGCGGAUAGGACGGUGAGGAGGACGCGCAGAACUCUAGGGAAUUCCGAACUCUAGACGGCGGCGGCGACGAGAGGUCGUGCAGAACUCUAGACUUCCUGUGGGAUUAGACUAGCCACAAUGGGUAGUUGGCAUGUUACUACUCUAUGUUAAUACCUCUAUAGUGGGGAGUAACAUAUUUGUGGUAACAUGCAAUACUUCAUUUAUUAUGCUAUAGACUCAUCUUGCCUUGAUAUGUGCGAUGUUACUCAUACUAGUAGUAACUAGCUAUGUUACUACAUGUCUCUCUUUCUUCAUUUAUUGCUUGCCACAUCAUCUAUUUUAUCUAGAUAUGUGUGAUGUUACCACUGUGGGUAGUCUUAAUAAUGGCCGGUUGGAAAUCAGAAUUAAGGCUUGGCUGGAUAUAAUCGGGGACUAGUGCUUUGAGAUAGGUACUGACACGUGUCGUGAAUCUGAAUGGCGUAGCGAGGCGUACGACCUAGUAGUAUAAGAUUUUUUCCCAUGUUUACGUUGGCGCGCAGGAACGGGCAACGAUCAGGAGUGCUAAUAAAUACACCGAUAUCGAGAUGGGCUCACAGGAUUUGUGACUUGUUGUCGUGUGCAGUAAAGAGAAAGUGAGCGCCAAUUUCUAUUUGACGCUUAUUACGUUAAGAUGUCGUUGUUUCGCACAAGGAACCGAGCGAGGGAAGUUCAGAUGUGCUAACCCAUUUAAGCUAUUAUUAUACAUCCACAAAUAGCGGUUUUGUGAACCUUUCUUUCAUUUCUGAUUUUUUUUCUUUACCUGCUUUUGGUUUCUUUACUUAAAAAAACACAAAAUGUAAGCGUUUAAAAAAUAUUCAUGGUUUUUCUAGAAAAUGUUCAAAAUUUCAAAAAUAUGUUGUUUUUCAGAAAUGUUCUCAAAUUUAAAAUAUUGUUCACUUUUAAAACUAUAUAUAUAUAUAUAUGUAAUAAUAUUUUAUAUAUUCAUAUUUUGAAAAUAAAAAAUCAAUCUGAAGUAAGUAAAACAGAAGAAGAAAAUGUGUCGCAACAAGAAGAACGUCUUGCUAUAGGACAAUCAGGCUCGCUCGCUAUGCGUCGACCUAGUCAGGAAGGAUGUCCCGUGCGAAAUAACGACUAUUUGACGCCACUAGCAUCAAAUGGCGUCAAAUAGGAGCACUCAGAGUGGGCGGUGGGGGAGAAAGGAGAGGCGAUGAAGGGAUGGGUUAAGCCUCUUGGCAUACUAUCAUGGUAUGUCCUCCCUCCGCCCCUUAAUAUCAGACGUCUUUGCAUUUGAACUGCAAAAACGUCUUAUAUUAUGGGACAGAGGUAGUAUAUUUUUGGGGUAAUAUUGACUAAAGAUUAUUAGGCUCAAAUCCAAAUCAGAUGAUACGAUGGUAUUUAUUUAAUUUAUACUAAAACCUUCCAAUUAAUGCGCGUGGCCAGCGAUGUCUCUCCAGGGAGCUCCUAUUCAGCGACCCGUGCGGUGGAAAUCGAGGAAGCGCGCGCUUUUGGGCCGGCCCAUGUAGGGGGCAGGCGCCACUGUUUAUUUAUUUAUUUUUUCUAUUUUUUUGCUUCUAUAAAAUUGUUUGGGAUUUCGAAAAAAAAUCGAAUUUAAAAAUGUUAGUGAUUUAAAAAAACGUUCGCAAAUUCAAAAAAAUAUGAAUUUAGAAAAUGAAAAAAAAAUCACAAAUUCAAUAAAUGGUCAUGAAAUUGAAAACAUGUUCAUGAAUAAAUCAAAUGUUUGCACAUAAAAAAAUGUCUACCCGAGCAUAUCAAAGAACAUUUUGACGAAGUAUAGGUCCAUGUCCAUUAAAGGAGAGGUCGUUUGCACGUCAACGGUAAAAAAAAAUCAUUACCCUUGCUUACUCUAAGCUUAGGGAGGUUCCUCUUUCUUUACUGGCCUUUAAGAAAUUGCACUUUCUCUUUUCAUUUUAUAAUUUAUUUUGAGAUUCGUUCUUACAAAAUUCAAAGCUUGGGGAAGUUACUUUUGCAUUUGUAGUCUUGUGCAAUGAUCUUCAUCUGACAAAUGCUAUGCAAUCAUGUUUUCACUGUUUGACAUGCUUGCUUAGGUAUGAUUGGUCUGUAUUCGCAUAAGGGAAUCACUUGCGCAAGUCAGUCCCCAUAUUGCCAAGUUAAUGUUUCUAUGCACUUUGUUCAAGUUUUUGCUUAUCUUGGAAACAAUCUUGUGAUCGUCUAAAAGACAUUGCCAUGACCUAUACUUUUUCGAAAGAAAAGAAAAAUGACGAUUGAAUAAUUUUUUCGAGACUUGUUAGAUUUUUUUUAAAACAAAAAGUUAUGGAGUACCUCAACCACAUAGUGUUUACAACAAGAGGUCGGGGGUAGGGAAAAGAGUCGAGUCGAUCGGCCGGGAGAAGCAAAACGAAAUCCGGACUUAAUAGUUCUUGCUUUGGUCGUUAUUUAUACAGAAUCAAUAGUCCAUAAUAUUUAAGAUUAUGCCAAAACCUAUGUUGCAAUACAUGACGUUUCAGCUUCUUGCUGGUUCCAUGGCCUUGUCACCUUAUGUUGUUUUAUGCCACAUGGGUGUGACUUCGUCGCCUCUCUUGAGUUUAUGUCGAGGACUCCGCUGGCCAAUGAACAAUCCACCAGACUUUUCGCUCGGAUUACGGCCAUGAAUUUUUAACGUUAGUAGUGCAACACUACAUCAAUUAUUAUUCGAUUUUUCUCUUGAGAGUGCGUGUAUGUGGUAAUAAAAGAAUAUUGAUCAUUGCGCUCGAAAGAGACAAUUCUUGGUCCAUUGUAUUCAAACAUAAGCCACAGUGAAACCCCCUCAUUUGUAUUUCGCCUUUUGGCAUAAUCUUGAGAACUUGGAGAUACCUA